UACAUAUAAAUAUCUUUUUUAUUUAUUUCCUCUCGAAGCAAGCGCAUGACGUUGAUUUCUGUUAUUACCAUCAAUCGAUUUUGAGUUUCGCAAACCCUAAUUUGCUCGUUGAUUCAAUACUCUUUGCCAUCGGAACAGUGAAAAACACUCGCACCGGAGCGUCUCAUUCAACGUUAUCGGAGUUCUUCAACCGACAAACGUCGACAAAGGUUCAAGAUUGAAUUGAAGUUUUCACCAUGAGAUUAAUAAAAGGAAGUAAAGUGGAGGUUCUUGUCAAUACCUCGAGACUUGAAGUAGAAUGGCAUGGUGCUCAAAUUACUUCUGGUAAUGGACACACUUACAAUGUUAAGUAUGACCAUUCUAGUUCAAAUGAUAAGGCUCUUUCGAGGAGAGUUCCAAGGAAGGCCAUCAGACCAUGCCCCCCUGCUAUGAAAAAUAUCGAGGGUUUAAAAGUCAAUGAUGCUGUGGAGGUUUGGAAUGACGGAUGCUGGAAAAAAGCUACUGUGUUGAAGUACAUGACUGGAGAAUUGUACUUGGUAGCGUUGCACGGAUCUUGUACGGAGCUGAAGGUCCAAGAAAUUCACAUGAGGAUGUGCCAAUCAUGGGAAAAUGGUCAAUGGAUCAUUAUUCCAAAGGUACCAGCCAAGUCUAGAGUGAUGAAGUUUAGCCGGAAUUUGAUUCCAAACAACUAUAAGGUGAUGCCUGAUGUUCAGCAAGCUAACAAUGUUUGUUCACUAGGAUUGGAUGACAGCUGUCUCCAUGUACCCUCCCCUUCAACUUUGAAAAGACCGUGCUCUCAUGGCUCAUCUCGUAAUGAGGAUUAUCCCAGAAAAAAGAGGGCUGGUGUGAUUAUGGGUGAGUCUAAAAGGUUCAAAGCAGUAUCCACUGCUCCAUUGAUGGAAAAGGUAGAUGCUAUUGCUUACCCACAGAAUAAUAUGGGUGAAAAAUACAUGCAUUAUUCAUUCACUAAUAGUACCUAUCAAUUAUAUGGAAUAGGGAAGAAGAAUCCUUGUAAUGAUAAAAUCACUGUAGAACAAGAUUAUUCUUGUAGUAAUCUGAGUUCAGUUGGAAGCUGUAGUGUAAUAAGUGGUAGCGCGAAUGAAUUUUUUGGUGAUACGUUAGCAGGUCCUUUCCAAGAUGAUGCAGAUUCCCUUCGCAGUAAUCCAGAAUUUCCAGAUGUUGAAGAUGUUGAUAGAUUUUCUGGUGAUAUGUUGGCGGCAAAUCCUUGCCAAAGUGAUGACAAUACCAUUUGCAGUGAUGCAGAUUCUCUAGAUGUUGAAGAUGCGGAUGUAGGAUGCACCAUUAUCCCAAAAGAGAUUGUAGCUGAAAAAAUCCAUAGUAUUAUAUAAGGUGAGAGCUUCCAUGCCUUCAAAAAGCUAUGAGAGUUUCAUGUGAUUGUUUAUUCAGCUACUACUAUCUGAUGCUAUGUAAAUGAUUUAAUUGCCAAGCAAUGAUGAACAUCUUCAUGUAUAUAGAUAUUGAAGGCCAGUGUAGGAGGCUUGCAUGCCUUGCUUCCAAUGGCUAAAUACGAUGCUAGGUUUGCCUCUUCUCUCUGCAAAUUAAUUGGUCAUCUCUACCAAUAAUUAUCUCAGAGAUAAGAAAUUUCUGACCUCUGUUUGUUAUGACUGUUUAUGUACUUUCCAAUAAUAUUGGAUAUAUCAGGUGUGCUUAGAACUCACACUUGUCAAUCAUGGCCAGAACAUGAACUUGCUUAAAAGCUGCAGAAACAACCCUCAAAUGGAUGAUCUUCUUAUGCAUUAUUCAGAUACUGUUAGUCUAUUUUAUUUAUUUGCACGUCAUGUGGAUUAUCUUAAUGUGACUUGAAUACUCUAUCCAACCAGUUGAAAAGCAAUUUAUGCCAGGAUGUUACAUUAUGAGUUUAUACUAGGGACAGUAUCAAUAUGUCCUGUCUGGAGUUAUCAAUAGCGCCCUGAAGUGUCGCUAUCCUGGGAUAGCAUCCCGGUGCGUUAACCCUCGGCUAUGGAGGAGCGGUUUGCGCCUCAGUUUGAGAUUGCGGCUGCGGUAUAAGUUUUAGUGGGUCGUACGAGCGGAGCGUUCCCGGCCUGAGAGGGUUUCCUCAUUUUUGAAGCGAAAACAGAUUUACCCCUAAAAUAAAUGAAUGUUGGGAGAAGUUUUUAGGAUUUGUUUUUCCACUUUGCCCUAACUCAGAACACAAAACAGAGAAUCAAUCUUCAAUCUUCUUGUCUCACAUGCCUUAGCUUCAGCUUUCAAGUUUUCUUCUCACAAUCAUCUUCCAAGCUUCGCCUACACCGUCUGCUUUGUUUCUCAGCACCGCCGCCUGCUCCAUUUCCCUGUGCCGUUGCUACCUGCUUCAUUUCUCAGCGCCACCACCCCGUUUCUGCGCCUCCAUUUCUUAGGUAGGUUUUGUUUUGUUUUUUUUUUUUUUUUUCUGUUCUUCAUUCUUUCCUCUUCUUUCCUCUUCUUUCUUUUCUCUUUUUUUUUUUUUUUCAUUUUUCAGGUAGGUUUUCUUUUUCUUUUUUUUUUAAAUUCUUCUCUCUUUUUCUUUUUUCUUCCUUACUCUGUUUUUUUAAGUCUUUCUUUUAUUUAAACUCUUCUUCCCCUGUUUUACUUGUUUUGUUUCUAAUGUGUGUUUUUUCUUUUACUAAAUAAUAAUUUUAUAAAUUUAUUGACUCUUUUAUGGGUUUUGUGUUAUUUGUUUAGUUUUACAUGUAAUAUAUGUUUUAUAGAUUAUUCAUAUAAUUAGUCCAAAAAGUAGUCGACUGGCAGUUAUCCUACUAUCUGCUAUCCCGUUUUUGGGGUCGGCCGCUCCGCUAUCUCUUUUUGUCGUGUCCUCCGCUCUUCUUAUCGGUCGGUCACCGAGUACCCCCACUCUCACUCUCCUUUUUUAUUUAUUUAUCACACAUUUAUAAUGUGUCAUUAUCUCUUGAUUUAAAUCCUCGUUGACUUUAUUGUGUUUUUUUUGUUCACGGAACCCUCUUGAACUUUAAUUUAUGAUUUUAUUCGGGAUAGAUUCAUUUUGUUUUUGUUUGCCUAUAAUUGCUUUUUGUUUAUAGUGUUAGGGUUUAUAGUUACAUCUAUUGAUUUCAAAAUAAUUGGGUGAUAUAAUCUGCUAACCUUGCAUGAUACCUUAACACAUGGUUGUUUUUAACUGUCAAUUAUUUGUAAUGCUAGCGUGUAGCCUUGAUAUUGAUGUAGAAUCUCAUCUUGACAAAUCAAAAUCUUACUGCUAUACAUUUUAGCUCAAUGCAUUUUUUUUUGGAAGAUAUACGGAUCUUCAUUUAGGUCAUUCUUGCUCUUAACUAUUUUUCUGUGACUACUGUUGAACUAAUAAAGUUUUAACCUUUCAAUCAAAAGGCUUGUGGAAAGGAAGUAUAUUGAAAGAUGAUACCAACAAAUUACUAUGAUGCAUAUUGAUUUGAUCCUCAUGUAAUAAAUAUAAUGUGAAGUGUGACUUGCUCUGGUUACUGCCGAGCUAUUCAAGCUUUGACUUCAUCAUCAAGAAUGCUUGUGGAAACAGUAUUCCAGAAGAUGAUUUGAACAAGGAACCUUAUGCACACAUUUCAGUUCUUAAUGUUGGUAUUAGCUCUUCAAUUACCUUUUAUUCCAUUUGUUUUGUAAGUUUAUGUUUGCAGCUAAUGCUGUGUAUUUUGUCAUCUUAGCUAAUGCUGUGUUUAAUCCA